rnacentral:lncRNA from 1 species
CACGCCCUUGGGUGCGCACGGAGUCCAAAGGCCCAUCUGGAGAGAUUCUGCCUGAGCUAGUUCUCCCUCUCAAGGCCCUCAUCCGGAUUCUUGCCUGUCUGCUUGCCCACAUGGGGAUUUCGGGGUUGAGGGUCUCACCCCUCCGACUUCUCCCGGCUGGUCCCUCCGCUCAGGGCACAGCGCGCCACACGCGGACGCGAGCGCGAGCAGCCAGGACCCGCGGGAGAAGUCGGUCCUCACUUCUCUGGCCGCUCCUCUGCGUCCGCUGGCACUAAAACCCCACCAAGGGGGCUGGGCCGGGGGAUGCAGACGCUAAGGUGGACUGGGGGUGGGGGUGCUCCUCUCAAGGUGCCCAGACGCGCGACUGGCCGGAGAGGCUGCACGCGCGCCCACCCGGCCUCUGCUCUCCCACCUGGGGCUAGCCUCCUCCGCGACGGCGAGGCGCGCAGCUCCCAUCCCAACCCCGACCCCGAGUCCAGCCCGAGGAGCAGUCCGUUCCCGGUCAGAGCCUUCCAGAGCCCAGGGGCCCCCAGCCUUGCUGGGAGGAUGCACCCAGCCUACGUCCUGCCGGCGCCUUCCCAAACCACCGCCACACUCGCUUUCACACCCGCUGGAAGAGUGACGCGUCCGGGCAGAGCGAUCACAGAUAAACCAAAUCUUUGAGUGUGUGAGAAGGAAAAGAAGCCGCGGCCGGGCCGCUGAUGAUGAGGGGACGAUGAACUUCUCACCUUUCUUUAACUCAGAGCAACUCGUCCUUUAAAAAAAUCCACGCCGCCGUGGGUGUGUAUUUCACUGUUAAUUGCGUUUUGCUGGGAUGAUCUUUUACGACUGGAAAACAAGCGGCUGGGAAAAUAUUCACGUUUGGGACAGAAAACAUUUUUUAUUUAUAUCUUUGACAUUUAAAAGAGCAGAAUUAAUUUGUCCUGUCUACAUUAGCAUUGAGAGAAAGUUUCAGAAAUCUACCCGGGGGAAGAGGACGGUGAAAAAAAAAAGAAAAAAGAAAGCGAAUAAAAGAAAGGAAAAAGAAAAGCUAGGCUUGGUU